AGAUACUGCAGCACUGACUUAGUAACAAGGAGGACUACACUAGAAUCAGGAUUAAAAAUCAACUCAGCUCUUUCAGUUCUCCAGCAAAUGAAAGCUCACACCACAUAUUGCACCCCAGCUUGCCAAGUUGUGGUCAAACUCUCCUCCUACUCUCAUUCUGAAACAGUGCUGCCAUGCCAGUAUAUUCUGUCCUGAAGAAGAAAUUAAGUAAACCAAAAAAAGAAGAGGAAAUAUAUUUCAGGAAACUUGAACGGCUUAAGGCCACCAAAUGAGCAGGACUCACAGAGCUGCUCCUUACCUCACCAGCACUAUGAAAGACACAUCAGAGGAGGUGCCAGGAAGAUAAAAAUAGGGCAAAAGAAGUAUGACAUCGUAAAAGAAAGAGGAAAGCCUCAAAAGGAUGGAGAGACAUCAGCACAGGAAAGCUGGUGAGGAAAAAAAAAUCAUAAAAAUAAAAUGUCUGGCUCACUAUACAGCAGCAAUAAAGAAUUGGCUCCUGAAGAAUAAAACCAGUUCUUGAAACCUUUUCA